rnacentral:rRNA from 1 species
GACGAACGCUGGCGGCGUGCCUAAUACAUGCAAGUCGAGCGCAGUGGGGACGGGUGAGUAACACGUGGGUAACCUCCCAUCAGAGGGGAUAACACUUGGAAACAGGUGCUAAACCGAUACUGAUGGCUGAACCCGCGGUGCAUUAGCUAGUUGGUGAGGUAACGGCUCACCAAGGCGACGAUGCAUAGCUGGACUGAGAGGGUGACCGGCCACACUGGAACUGAGACACGGUCCAGACUCCUACGGGAGGCAGCAGUAGGGAAUCUUCGGCAAUGGACGAAAGUCUGACCGAGCCACGCCGCGUGAGUGAAGAAGGUUUUCGGAUCGUAAAACUCUGUUGGUAGAGAAGCGUUAGCUAACCAGAAAGCAACGGCUAACUACGUGCCAGCAGCCGCGGUAAUAC